AAUCACACCGCCCUGCACCGCUAGAGAGAGGGAAUCACACCACCCUGCACCGCUAGAGAGAGGGAAUCACACCGCCCUGCACCGCUAGAGAGAGGGGAUCACACCACCCUGCACUGCUAGAGAGAGGGAAUCACACCACCCUGCACCGCUAGAGAGAGGGAAUCACACCGCCCUGCACCGCUAGAGAGAGGGAAUCACACCGCC